rnacentral:rRNA from 1 species
AUUAGAAGCCUUCUGAUUAAAGGAGUAAUCCGCUUUGGGAGGGACCUGCCGUCCCAUCAGCUAGUUGGUAGGGUAACGGCCUACCAAGGCAAUGACGGGUAGGGGACCUGAGAGGGUGACCCCCCCACAAUGGCACUGAAACACGGGCCAU